AUGCACAAAGGGGACCCGAGGGUCCCCUUUAAUUUGUCGUUGCGUGCUCUUUUUUUAUUAUUGAGGGGCGGUCUAUUGUUGUUUUUGGCAACCGUUACCCUUUACCGCUGUUUUUGGCGACCCCCAUCCGGGAUCAAGAGCAAACGUAUUUUUUUGAGCGCUGAUCUGCUUCUUCGUGAUGAUCCAACCAGUGGGCAGCUACCUGAGGUAGUU
rnacentral:misc_RNA from 6 species